ensembl:lncRNA
GGAAGCAACUGCCAUGGGUUCCUUUUCAUCCGCGCUGACUAAAUCCAUUGCCAUCGCGCUUCUUGUGAGGCCCAGAGGGAGCAUGCGAAGGGGAGAGGCAGGACCAGAGUUGAAGCGAAUCCAUAGGCGUACCAAUGGGUCUCCGGAGUUCCUUGAUGCGGAGACAAUGGUGUGGUUGACCGUAGGUGUGUGUCCUCGGAGGAGCUUGGAUGAGAAUCUCACAUGAAGAUAAGUCGACUUUUAAUUCAACGAACCCUUUUCUGCAAAAGCUUGUGCCCCAGUGGGGGAAUUAAGGAGGAAUUAUAUUCUUGGAGAUGUUGAAAAAAGAUUCCUGGGUCUUGGAAGAUAAUUACUAGAAAUAUGCAGUGCUUCUGAUCAUUGGAAACCUUGUCUAACAACAGAAACAGCAUAUAAAGCAUAACCAGCUUUGAAAUGUAUUAAGGCGUGGUUGCCCGUCCCAUGUCAGGCUUGAUGUUGAAAAGACGACACUGCCAAGUUAGCAGAAGAAACAAAUCGAAGGGUGUUGUUCUCCAAGAACACCAUUUAUCAGAUUUAUCAAGAAUUCAAAGAUUUAUAUAAUAAGGUAGUCCGUCCUUUGCACCAUUUCAACAUAUGCCUGAAUAUCAGUUUUCACACUGUAGACAAUACCUGUCCCCCAACGAGACUGAACUUUUAGUCACAGUACUAACUGAAUUAUUCCGUAAACGUUGCUGCUAGCUCUUUAUUCCAGAAUCAUUAUGCAAAUAAAAGAUGUGCCUCAUGAAUCUACUUUGGAUUGAGGACUGUAAUAAAAAACAGUUACAUCACUUCUUUCAGAUUCUUGGUGAUUGAAAACAUCCAUUAGCUGCAGAUGGUAAAGCUGUGUUCUUCCUUGUCUCCCAUGCAACAUUUUACAAAAAUGGAUCAUCAGAAGAGGGAAUUGGUCAACAGAUAUGACAGCAAAGAAAUGAAAAGUGCUAACACUGGAAAUGAAAUUAGAUGUGGUUAGAAGAUUUGAAAAUGGUCACAACAAAGCAAAAAAUAGGACAAGACCUGGGCCUACAUGACACUACAGUACAAACCGUAUUUAAAAGUCUGAUGAGUUCCUGCUAUGGUGCAAAAGGAUCAGCAGCCUCUUGGGGAGUGCUGGGACGCAGGUUUGGUUCCUGGCACGGUGGGUUGAGGAUCCAGUGUUGCCACAGCUGCAACUUUGGUUGCAGCUACGGCUUGGAUCUGAUCCCUGGCCUGGGAGCUCCAUAUGCCUCGGGAGCCAAAAGAAAGGGGGGGGGGGAUGGUUCAACAUCUUGUAGUUUAAAUUGCACUAGGAGCGGAAAGCUGCUUAUGGUUGAAAUGGAGCCUUUAUUUCUACUUUGGAUUAAGGACUGUAAUCAAAAACAAAUCCCAUUCAGUUAGGCACUGAAGUUAGUUGCUACAUGUAAGGAAAAUGCUAAUUACAAGGACAUCUUUUUAGUACCAGUAAAGGCUGGUUUCAUCAUUUUAGAAGUUAACAUGAAUUGAUUAAUGUUAAGCUAUCUGGUGAAGCUACAAGCUCAAAUAAGAAUGCUACUGUGAAAUUUGCACCCAGAUUCCAAGAAUUACAGGCAUUCCUCAUUUUGCACAGUAGUGAGAGACGACUGCAAAAAACUGCGAGAUUCGGAUGGAAUGUAAAUGGAGUUAAGGAAGGUAAUGAUGACCAUGGGAACACUGCUGCCUGCCAUUCAAGGAACAGUUCUAGACAUGCGGGAAGCAGAACUUAAGGUGAAGUUCCAAGUGAAGAAAGCGGUUGUAAAGCAUGAGUGCAUCUCAGGAAGUGAUGGUGUUGACAGACUUAGGCUGAAGGAGCUCUGCAGAGAUCCAUCGUGACAUUGACGGCACAGAGGACAAAUUUUG